rnacentral:sRNA from 2 species
CAACCAUAGAGAAGAAUUCCAUAUUUAUAUGAUCAAUAGCCGCCUUCGCAUGUCUAGUUCGAGACAAUCGAGCGGGCCCGAAGGUGACUUCGUAAUUGUAGCCUCAUCGGUUAAACCUAGAUCUUGGCAAAGUUUUACGGCGACUCCCACUACCCAAUACGCGGCAGUCCUUGUUGGCGUCAAUAUUGAAUACUGGGCGAUGAGUGCUAAACACUGCAGAGUGGAUAAGUCCAUCCUUUUUAUUGAGGCAUCUAAGAAAGAAAGCCCAGCCAGAUAGUAACUGUCAGCUAAUCCCGCAUACUGUGGGCUGAGCUUCUGCAUGCUGAUCGCAAUGACAAGGCGAGCCUGGAAAUUAUGACAAGGGUCCUGGGAUCCGUCCAAGACAGCAUCUAUUUCCCGGCGAAAUGAAGGUUCAUGCAAGGUGGGAAGCAUGUAUUGAGCUAGUAGAAGAGGUCAGUCGAUAGACAGAGAAUUGAACGGCAGUCGCGAGGCGUGGAGUUUACCUUUGGCCAUGAAUAUAUCAACUAGUCUGUAAGCUAAUUCCCGUGGUGGGAGAUUAGGCUCCGCAACAGAACUUAUCAUUGGAUAUAUUUUCGAGGUUGGUUUUUGGCUCUCCAGCGUAAACGCAUAUUUGAUUUCCUGUGCGGUAGCCUCGUUUACGACUUCUUUAAUGCUCUUCGAAUUUGUAUUUUGCUUUGCUAUUUCCAUUACGAGCCGAGUAAUCGUGAUGCCACUUGACGGCCCCAGAAAUCUAGGCUCAUCCGUCUCUUUAAACUUAAUGAGCCCUGCUCCGCGAACCAUGAAUUCGGCAUCAGUAGAAUGGCUUAUUUCGCUCUCAACCUGCGCUAAUUCCUGGCUGAGCAUUUUUAUCCUUUCGCGCAAUUGCAAUAUAUACGUCCUUGAGAUAGUUCGAUUUCUCGCUGGGUCGUAGUAAACGCACUUCGCAUUAGAUCGCUGGCAGGGCUCACAUCGCGGUAUCCCGGGGUCGCAUCUCGAUUUUCU